ensembl:lncRNA
CCCCUGAAAAUGGCAAAAACGACACAAAUUUUGCAUAGAAAAUUCAAAAUAACUGACUUCCUGUUGGGAUUCGAAUUUCGUACCAAAAUACUUUUUUGUAGGUAUUGGUGUGUUACAUGUGUGUACCGAUUUUUGUACAUGUACGUGAAACGUAGCUCGAGGCGCACUCCGUUGAAAAUGUAUAGGUGGCGCUAUCGAGGCAUUUUGCCACACCCAAUGGAAUAUUGGCCUUCAGAUGUGUUCAGGCCAGGACACUUAUCAAACAUGUGAAGUUUGGGCAAGAUCGGACAUUUUAUGCCUGAGUUACAAUAACUUUUAUUCCCAUGGCGAGACAUCGAACUUUGUGACGGCGCCAUGGACACGCCCUUUAACGAAAACUCAAGAUCUUCACAAUUUAACAUCGCA